GGCCUGCCCCUCGCCCGCGCCCCCAAACUCCGAAGGGCCGCCGCGCCCCGCCGCUGGCCUGGGCGGGGCGGGCGAAUGCGGGCGGCGCGUGGGCCCCUCCUGGUAAGCAGGACGGGCGAGGCGGGACGAUCCGGACGCCGGGCCAGGGUGCGCCGCCGGGGCCCGCGGAACGGCGUCGGCCGGCCCGACAGCUGGAAGGUGGCCCCAGAAGUCGGCAUCCUCCAGGGAGUGUGUAACAACCCACCAGCCGAAUCGGCCGGCCCGGAAAAUGGAGCGCGCCGGAGCCCCGGACCCGCGCCCGGCCGCCGCGCGCGGCGGUUCGGGAGGCCGCAGAGGCCCCGGGGGCGCGAGGCGGCGCGCAGGCCCCGCCGGACCGGCCUCUGGUGCAGAUCUCGGCAGCAGUAGCCGCUACUCCGCGCCCCGGAGGACUGAGGGG
rnacentral:rRNA from 1 species